rnacentral:rRNA from 1 species
GAUGAACGCUGGCGGCGUGCUUAACACAUGCAAGUCGAACGAAGCAUUUAGGACAGAUUACUUCGGUUUGAAGUUCUUUAUGACUGAGUGGCGGACGGGUGAGUAACGCGUGGGUAACCUGCCUUGUACUGGGGGAUAGCAGCUGGAAACGGCUGGUAAUACCGCAUAAGCGCACAAUGUUGCAUGACAUGGUGUGAAAACCUCCGGUGGUAUAAGAUGGACCCGCGUCUGAUUAGCUAGUUGGUGAGAUAACAGCCCACCAAGGCGACGAUCAGUAGCCGACCUGAGAGGGUGACCGGCCACAUUGGGACUGAGACACGGCCCAGACUCCUACGGGAGGCAGCAGUGGGGAAUAUUGCACAAUGGAGGAAACUCUGAUGCAGCGACGCCGCGUGAGUGAAGAAGUAAUUCGUUAUGUAAAGCUCUAUCAGCAGGGAAGAUAGUGACGGUACCUGACGAAGAAGCUCCGGCUAAAUACGUG